GGCCGCGGGAAUUCGAUUCAGGCCUAACACAUGCAAGUCGAACGAUGAAGCUGGAGCUUGCUCCGGUGGAUUAGUGGCGAACGGGUGAGUAACACGUGAGCAAUCUGCCCUUGACUCUGGGAUAACUGCGGGAAACUGUAGCUAAUACCGGAUACGACACCUUGGGGCAUCCCAGGGUGUGGAAAGAAUUUCGGUCAAGGAUGAGCUCGCGGCCUAUCAGCUUGUUGGUGAGGUAAUGGCUCACCAAGGCGACGACGGGUAGCCGGCCUGAGAGGGUGACCGGCCACACUGGAACUGAGACGCGGUCCAGACUCCUACGGGAGGCAGCAGUGGGGAAUAUUGCACAAUGAGGGAAAGCCUGAUGCAGCAACGCCGCGUGAGGGAUUUCAACGGUCGGGUUGUAGACCUCUUCAGCAGGGAAUAAGCGAAAGGAA
rnacentral:rRNA from 1 species